rnacentral:lncRNA from 1 species
GCACGCAGGCGCGCUGGGAGGGACUGGGCGGGUCGCGCUGGGAUGGAGUCGGGAGGAAACUGCAAUCAAGUGUUUUAAUUGUGAACAGCCAGGCAGUCCUGUUAUGUGUCGCUAUAGCACAAGUUUUUAGUUCCUCCUCCCUGAGCUGCCUCUGGUUAAGCUUGAAA